AACACUGUUAACCUGCGGUACCUGCGGAAGGAUCAUUACCGAGUUUACAACUCCCAAACCCCUGUGAACAUACCUAUACGUUGCCUCGGCGGAUCAGCCCGCGCCCCGUAAAAAGGGACGGCCCGCCCGAGGACCCCUAAACUCUGUUUUUAGUGGAACUUCUGAGUAAAACAAACAAAUAAAUCAAAACUUUUAACAAUGGAUCU
rnacentral:misc_RNA from 1 species